rnacentral:misc_RNA from 1 species
AACACCUCAAGUCUCGAGAUAUUUUAUAUUUCGAGACUUGGAUUUGAGUGAUCCUAACUACAAGUCGUCUUUUUUGACGGCUAGAAGGCAGGUCACUUGAAAUUCAGGUGCAGCUGAACUUUUCUUCUGAGCUAAAAGCAUUAUUUUAUUUAGUCUUUAUUGACUAUUACUUUUUGCUGCAGCUAAUAUAAAGGGAGAAUCGUUUCUUAAUGCUGACUGAUGCAGGAAUUUAUCAGUUUCUCGUAAAAAAGGACUGUUAG